rnacentral:lncRNA from 1 species
ACAGAUAUAAAGAUGAUAAUCAAGCAUGGAAAGAACAAGCAGAAAAUAACACAUAUAAUUGUUUUAUGUAAAUACUCGUUUUUGUUGCUGUAAGGUGAAGGAAUCUGAGCAUCUUCUUUCAUCGAGGGUUCCAUAUUGUCCAAAUCAGGUGUCUUCCCAUCUAAGGCAGGAUGAACCUAUAUAAGAUAUUCCUUGCAUAAGAGAGAAGUGACAUCAAAAGAUAAUCAAGAAAGCAACCUGCAGAUUUUCAAGAAAGGGUCGGAUAAUCUUUAUGUGUUCCUUCAACACAUUCAUAGCCAUAGAGAAUCAAAGGACAUUAAUUACUAGCAGAUGUCAUUCUCAGAAGUCAGAACUCUAGGCAACCGAAGGCCAAACCUCAACUAAAACACCAGCAAAACACCACAUGUUCAAGACUACAAAACAAAUUUGUCUUCCAAGAAUCCAAGCCAAAGGGCAAAAAAAAAACCCAACUGCAAGUGAAACUUCAACUAUUCAAUGGAAAUGGCAUAAUCGUCCUUGUCUUUGGCUGAUCGGCUCUCCCUACAUAAAAUAAAAAUCAAAUAUUUAGAAUACAUAAUAAAAGGCAAAGAGAUUGUAGAUGAAUGAAGAUAGGGGAUGGAGAUUCAAUUUCUGAUUUAUCAUUUACAUAGAAAACAAAACACAAACUAAAUGGUUUUUCUUUUUUGUUACCGUUGCUUUGCAAUAAAAUGGCCAAUCGAUGCCUAUGUACUUCGAUAUUUGCAUGAAGAAUGUAGUCAAACACCCAAUCGAUGCUACGCAACAAAAUCUUCCAAAAGAUUCGUCUCGUUUUCUUCUCUAUAGGCCCCGAUAAUGUUGCCUUCCUCUUUCUCAUUUUUGGUUUACCGCCUUCAAGCCAAUCAGAUACGAAAUUGAGGGCUUUGAGCACAGUGGGCUGAAAAUAUCACAUAUAGCUACCGGAGCAGACCAGAGUUACAUUAUGCCACCUCAGGAAUGAUGCCCUCGGCCAUUGCCCAACCUGCCCAUGCCCUAGGUCGGGCCUGGUAGUCAUAGUAGAUGGAGUAGGGUUGACAGGAGGUGGAUCCAGGACUUAGAGCCCCAAUCGCCAACAUCGUGAGUGUAAGAAGUCACAGUCGUCGGCAUAGGCGUGUGUGAGCGUAAGGAGUCACCGAUACGGCGAGGAUGAAACUUGAUUAAUUUUGUGGAGGUCUCCCAUAAAAGCCCUAGCUUGUUGAUGGAGGCGUUGAUUUUUGAUGAUGAAGGGCCGGUAGGGUUUCAUCGAUUUCGACUGUGGUAGUACCAGGUGGGGGAGGAUAAGAUAGCUUCGAAGAAGGUCACAAAUCUGGAGCAAGGAAGAAGGAAAGGGUAAGAAGACAUCGUUGUGAAUUGACGGUGGUUGUGUCUAGGGUUAGAGAGAAGGAGGGAGAGAAUGGCUCUCUGUGCGAUUUUAUGAGAGAUAAGGGAGAUUACUUCAAAAUUUUAGAAUUUUCUAAUUUUUGAGGAUCC